CCUACGGUGGGCAGCAGUGGGGAAUAUUGGACAAUGGGCGAAAGCCUGAUCCAGCCAUGCCGCGUGUGUGAAGAAGGCCUUCGGGUUGUAAAGCACUUUCAGUGGGGAAGAAAGCCUUGGGGCUAAUACCCUCGAGGAAGGACAUCACCUACAGAAGAAGCACCGGCUAACUCCGUGCCAGCAGCCGCGGUAAUACGGAGGGUGCGAGCGUUAUUCGGAAUUACUGGGCGUAAAGCGCGCGUAGGCGGUCUGAUAAGCCGGUUGUGAAAGCCCCGGGCUCAACCUGGGAACGGCAUCCGGAACUGUCAGGCUUGAGUGCAGGAGAGGAAGGUAGAAUUCCCGGUGUAGCGGUGAAAUGCGUAGAGAUCGGGAGGAAUACCAGUGGCGAAGGCGGCCUUCUGGACUGACACUGACGCUGAGGUGCGAAAGCGUGGGUAGCAAACAGGAUUAGAUACCCGGGUAGUC
rnacentral:rRNA from 1 species